rnacentral:rRNA from 1 species
GACGUAGGGCGCAAGCGUUGUCCGGAUUUAUUGGGCGUAAAGAGCUCGUAGGCGGCUUGUUACGUCGACUGUGAAAACCCGUGGCUCAACCAUGCGGUCUGCAGUCGAUACGGGCAGGCUAGAAUUCGGUAGGGGAGACUGGAAUUCCUGGUGUAGCGGUGAAAUGCGCAGAUAUCAGGAGGAACACCGGUGGCGAAGGCGGGUCUCUGGGCCGAUAUUGACGCUGAGGAGCGAAAGCGUGGGGAGCGAACAGG